rnacentral:rRNA from 1 species
GUUGUUGGGUAGGGGAGCGUUCUGUAAGCCGUUGAAGGUGUGCUGUGAGGCAUGCUGGAGGUAUCAGAAGUGCGAAUGCUGACAUAAGUAACGAUAAAGCGGGUGAAAAGCCCGCUCGCCGGAAGACCAAGGGUUCCUGUCCAACGUUAAUCGGGGCAGGGUGAGUCGACCCCUAAGGCGAGGCCGAAAGGCGUAGUCGAUGGGAAACAGGUUAAUAUUCCUGUACUUGGUGUUACUGCGAAGGGGGGACGGAGAAGGCUAUGUCAGCCGGGCGACGGUUGUCCCGGUUUAAGCGUGUAGGUGUGUGUUCCAGGCAAAUCCGGUUCACUUUAACACUGAGGCGUGAUGACGAGGCACUACGGUGCUGAAGUGAUAAAUGCCCUGCUUCCAGGAAAAGCCUCUAAGCAUCAGGUAACACGAAAUCGUACCCCAAACCGACACAGGUGGUCAGGUAGAGAAUACCAAGGCGCUUGAGAGAACUCGGGUGAAGGAACUAGGCAAAAUGGUGCCGUAACUUCGGGAGAAGGCACGCUGAUAUGUAGGUGAAGUCCCUGCGGACGGAGCUGAAAUCAGUCGAAGAUACCAGCUGGCUGCAACUGUUUAUUAAAAACACAGCACUGUGCAAACACGAAAGUGGACGUAUACGGUGUGACGCCUGCCCGGUGCCGGAAGGUUAAUUGAUGGGGUUAGCGGCAACGCGAAGCUCUUGAUCGAAGCCCCGGUAAACGGCGGCCGUAACUAUAACGGUCCUAAGGUAGCGAAAUUCCUUGUCGGGUAAGUUCCGACCUGCACGAAUGGCGUAAUGAUGGCCAGGCUGUCUCCACCCGAGACUCAGUGAAAUUGAACUCGCUGUGAAGAUGCAGUGUACCCGCGGCAAGACGGAAAGACCCCGUGAACCUUUACUAUAGCUUGACACUGAACACUGGUCCUUGAUGUGUAGGAUAGGUGGGAGGCUUUGAAGCGUGGACGCCAGUCUGCGUGGAGCCGUCCUUGAAAUACCACCCUUUAAUGGCUGGUGUUCUAACGUGGACCCGUAAUCCGGGUUGCGGACAGUGUCUGGUGGGUAGUUUGACUGGGGCGGUCUCCUCCCAAAGAGUAACGGAGGAGCACGAAGGUUAGCUAAUCCUGGUCGGACAUCAGGAGGUUAGUGCAAUGGCAUAAGCUAGCUUGACUGCGAGAGUGACGGCUCGAGCAGGUGCGAAAGCAGGUCAUAGUGAUCCGGUGGUUCUGAAUGGAAGGGCCAUCGCUCAACGGAUAAAAGGUACUCCGGGGAUAACAGGCUGAUACCGCCCAAGAGUUCAUAUCGACGGCGGUGUUUGGCACCUCGAUGUCGGCUCAUCACAUCCUGGGGCUGAAGUAGGUCCCAAGGGUAUGGCUGUUCGCCAUUUAAAGUGGUACGCGAGCUGGGUUUAGAACGUCGUGAGACAGUUCGGUCCCUAUCUGCCGUGGGCGCUGGAGAAUUGAGGGGGGCUGCUCCUAGUACGAGAGGACCGGAGUGGACGCAUCACUGGUGUUCGGGUUGUCAUGCCAAUGGCACUGCCCGGUAGCUAAAUGCGGAAGAGAUAAGUGCUGAAAGCAUCUAAGCACGAAACUUGCCCCGAGAUGAGUUCUCCCUGAGACUUUAAGUCUCCUGAAGGAACGUUGAAGACGACGACGUUGAUAGGCCGGGUGUGUAAGCGCAGCGAUGCGUUGAGCUAACCGGUACUAAUGAACCGUGAGGCUUAACCUU